AUACGUAGGGGGCGAGCGUUGUCCGGAAUGAUUGGGCGUAAAGGGCGCGUAGGCGGCCCGGUAAGUCUGGAGUGAAAGUCCUGUUUUUAAGAUGGGAAUUGCUUUGGAUACUGUCGGGCUUGAGUGCAGGAGAGGUAAGUGGAAUUCCCAGUGUAGCGGUGAAAUGCGUAGAGAUUGGGAGGAACACCAGUGGCGAAGGCGACUUACUGGACUGUAACUGACGCUGAGGCGCGAAAGUGUGGGGAGCAAACAGGAUUAGAUACCCUGGUAGUCCACACUGUAAACGAUGAAUACUAGGUGUAGGGGGUAUCGACUCCCCCUGUGCCGCAGCUAACGCAUUAAGUAUUCCACCUGAGUAGUACGGUCGCAAGACUGAAACUCAAAUGAAUUGACGGGG
rnacentral:rRNA from 1 species